AUGAACGCUGGCGGCGUGCCUAAUACCUGCAAGUCGAGCGAACGGACGAGAAGCUUGCUUCUCUGAUGUUAGCGGCGGACGGGUGAGUAACACGUGGAUAACCUACCUAUAAGCCUGGGAUAACUUCGGGAAACCGGAGCUAAUACCGGAUAAUAUUUUGAACCGCAUGGUUCAAAAGUGAAAGACGGUCUUGCUGUCACUUAUAGAUGGAUCCGCGCUGCAUUAGCUAGUUGGUAAGGUAACGGCUUACCAAGGCAACGAUGCAUAGCCGACCUGAGAGGGUGAUCGGCCACACUGGAACUGAGACACGGUCCAGACUCCUACGGGAGGCAGCAGUAGGGAAUCUUCCGCAAUGGGCGAAAGCCUGACGGAGCAACGCCGCGUGAGUGAUGAAGGUCUUCGGAUCGUAAAACUCUGUUAUUAGGGAAGAACAUAUGUGUAAGUAACUGUGCACAUCUUGACGGUACCUAAUCAGAAAGCCACGGCUAACUACGUG
rnacentral:rRNA from 1 species